GAGAGCCGUAUGCGAGAAAUCCGCCUGUACGUUUCGAUGAGCGAGGAGUGAAAACGGAGCGUCGGCCACCGCGUCACUCCUGGGCUCUAC
rnacentral:misc_RNA from 1 species